rnacentral:rRNA from 1 species
AGUCGACGGCAGCACGGGGGCAACCCUGGUGGCGAGUGGCGAACGGGUGAGUAAUGCAUCGGAACGUGCCCCAUAGCGGGGGAUAACCAGUCGAAAGAUUGGCUAAUACCGCAUACGCUCUACGGAGGAAAGCAGGGGACCGCAAGGCCUUGCACUAUGGGAGCGGCCGAUGCCCGAUUAGCUAGUUGGUGAGGUAAAGGCUCACCAAGGCAACGAUCGGUAGCUGGUCUGAGAGGACGACCAGCCACACUGGGACUGAGACACGGCCCAGACUCCUACGGGAGGCAGCAGUGGGGAAUUUUGGACAAUGGGCGCAAGCCUGAUCCAGCCAUGCCGCGUGCGGGAAGAAGGCCUUCGGGUUGUAAACCGCUUUUGGCAGGAACGAAACGGCGCUCGCUAAUACCGGGCGCUAAUGACGGUACCUGCAGAAUAAGCACCGGCUAACUACGUGCCAGCAGCCGCGGUAAUACGUAGGGUGCAAGCGUUAAUCGGAAUUACUGGGCGUAAAGCGUACGCAGGCGGCCAUGUAAGACAGGUGUGAAAUCCCCGGGCUUAACCUGGGAACUGCAUUUGUGACUGCAUGGCUAGAGUUUGUCAGAGGGGGGUGGAAUUCCACGUGUAGCAGUGAAAUGCGUAGAGAUGUGGAGGAACACCGAUGGCGAAGGCAGCCCCCUGGGACAUGACUGAC